AUACGGAGGGUGCAAGCGUUAAUCGGAACCACUGGGCGUAAAGCGCUCGUAGGUGGCUUUGUAAGUCAGGUGUGAAAGCCCACGGCUCAACCGUGGAAUUGCACUUGAUACUGCAUUGCUUGAGUCCUGGAGAGGGUGGCGGAAUUCCGGGUGUAGGAGUGAAAUCCGUAGAUAUCCGGAGGAACACCGGUGGCGAAGGCGGCCACCUGGACAGGUACUGACGCUGAGGCGCGAAAGCGUGGGGAGC
rnacentral:rRNA from 1 species